rnacentral:rRNA from 1 species
UACGUAGGGCGCAAGCGUUAUCCGGAAUUAUUGGGCGUAAAGGGCUCGUAGGCGGUUUGUCGCGUCUGCCGUGAAAGUCCGGGGCUCAACUCCGGAUCUGCGGUGGGUACGGGCAGGCUAGAGUGAUGUAGGGGAGACUGGAAUUCCUGGUGUAGCGGUGAAAUGCGCAGAUAUCAGGAGGAACACCGAUGGCGAAGGCAGGUCUCUGGGCAUUAACUGACGCUGAGGAGCGAAAGCAUGGGGAGCGAACAGG